rnacentral:rRNA from 1 species
AUGUGCGGCCACCAGGAGGAGUCGCUGUUUCAUUCUCUGGUGAUGUGCGACCACGCGAAGUUGUUCUGGAGAGAGGCAGAGACUUUCUUCGAGUUUAAGCUGCUGCGGCUACACCCAGUUACGUGGUCGAGGGACUUGCUUGAACCCAGCUUCAUUGGGAAAGACCGAGCGGCCAUCAUUAUCUCAGUCAUGUGGAUAAUAUGGUCGAGCAGGAACAAGUAUACUCAUGAGGAGGUCAAAUACCAGCCCGGGAGGUCAAUGGUUCUAGUGAAGGAACUCAUUCAAGCUCUGUACAUUCCUUCCAAAGCUGUCGAUAGGAGAAGUCUCGAGAAGGAGAAAUGGAAACCGCCGAAAGAAGGAUGGUGUAAAAUCAAUACGGAUGCUUCUGUGGAUGUGAAUAGGGGAUCAUCAGCCAUCGGGCUAGUGGCUCGGGACCAUGGCGGAGAACUUAUGCUAGCCAGGGGCCGCAAGCUGUCGGGGGUGACUGGCCCAUACUGCGCUGAAUUGCUAGGUGUCAGGGAAGUUGUGCAUCUGGCUAUGGAGAAGGGCUGGACGCGGGUGACCAUCGAAUCGGACUGCAAAACUGUCAUAGAUGAGUACAUGGCGACGGAGUGCAGGUCGAUAGGAAGCCCAAUCAUCAGCGAGAUCAAAUCCUAUCUCCAGAACUUUCAGGGUUUACGAGUCAACUAUGUUAGAAGAGAGGCCAAUGAGGCUGCUCACCGGUGUGCCAGAGAGAGCCUUGCGAGUGCUUCGAAUGUAAUAUCCUUUGAUGUUUUCCGUGCUUCAUUGAUUGCCCUAGUGCAAUCGGAUGUAAACCGUCUAAGUAAUGAAUAA